rnacentral:rRNA from 1 species
GAAUUCGAUUCAGGCCUAACACAUGCAAGUCGAACGAUGAAGCCGGAGCUUGCUCCGGUGGAUUAGUGGCGAACGGGUGAGUAACACGUGAGUAACCUGCCCUUGACUCUGGGAUAACUCCGAGAAAUCGGUGCUAAUACCGGAUAUGACCCUGGAAGGCAUCUUCUGGGGUGGAAAGUUUUUCGGUCAAGGAUGGACUCGCGGCCUAUCAGCUUGUUGGUGAGGUAACGGCUCACCAAGGCAACGACGGGUAGCCGGCCUGAGAGGGUGACCGGCCACACUGGGACUGAGACACGGCCCAGACUCCUACGGGAGGCAGCAGUGGGGAAUAUUGCACAAUGGGGGAAAGCCUGAUGCAGCAACGCCGCGUGAGGGAUGUCGACCGUCGGGUUGUAAACCUCUUUUAGUAGGGAAGAAGCGAAA